UGCGCAGGAGCCGGUGAUCCGAGUCGUUCUUUUCCCUAUAUAUUCUAUUAAGAGCGACCCUGGUCACCAGCGACAGCCACCACGGUUACACCGGGACUACUUUCCCCUACGAAUAAUGGUAUUGGAGUUGUAGCGUAACGGUGACCGGAGCUUGUGCAUGGAUUGAUAUAUUAACGCAUUAUACGUAAUCAUGAACUGUCAAUUUAAAUACCUGCUGUACAACAGGAAAAAAAAUUUGAAUUGCGGAUAUUUAAACUUACAUUCUUAUCUUACGAUCGAAAAUAUUCUUAUUUGCAUGUAUAUCCUCAUUGAAGCAAGUCGUUCGUACCAAACCGAAAGUUGUUUCUUUUUAAAAAUCAUAUCUCUCAAACUAAAAAAGAUUUCGAUGACUACUACAGAAUGCAGAUGUACAUAUUGAUAAUUUCGGGAGUAUUGCUAAUAUCCUAUUACCUUACUGCUGCCUCUGAAGACCCUCGGGUAGGUCCUGCUGUACGUCUGGCAUUACCCCGGGAAAUCUCGUGCUGCCGGAAGUCGCUCCUCUGCAAUCCAGGAAUAAACUGGGGAAAACUCCCAAGAUACUACACCACCACCAACCACACUGAUUUUCUCAGCAAUGUUUGUCGGCUCGAGGGGGAAAUAUCCCCCACCGUCCGAUAUGGGCUUCUUGGAAUUUGACCAAGUUCCAGGGCAAGCUUUUGUCGAAUCCCGCUCGUGUCGAGUUGUUUCUCAUCAAUACCGACAUUAAGUGUCGUAUCAGUGUGUCCUAAGAAUAGAAAAGAAUGGAUCGCUGCAUCUGACCGAAAGCAGUGUUCCCGCAUUCUACAAAACUGUACAAGACCAGGCAAUUUUCAGUACCAUUGUUUGGUAAAUACAAACGCUGAUGGAUUGGUAGAAGUUUGUCUUCCGGUACGUCGAAUAGUUGGGCAAUACUGUAGUUUUUAUGAUGACAAGAAAAUAAGAGCUGAGAACCACUAUCAUUUGCCAUGUGGAGAACAUGAUGUUAUCUGUCCGGAGUUUUACCAAUCAAAUGAGGCAUAUAAAUAUCAGGGGUGUUACAAAACAGUUACGACAGGUGAUACAAGUACAGAAGAGAGUCCAUCAGGACAAAUGGACGACAACCAAAUAGAAGUUCAGUUGGAUACAUUCUGGUCGUUGAUCGCCAUUAUUGUUGGUGUUUCCAUCAUUGCAAUUUUGGGAACCAUAAAUGUGGUUGUACAAUUAAUUCGAACGGAAACCAAGCAAUCUUGCUAUCGUUUAUGCGGCCCUAACUGUUGUGACUGCUGCAGUACACAUCAAGAAGAGUCCUCGGGCAGGUGUAAAGGUUCAGAUGACCAGGGAGAAUCCAUCAAGCUGUCGUCUAUUGAUAACCAAGAAGAUUGAGGAUCAAUAUAAGCCUCUUAGCUUGUUACCAAUCCCCAUUCCAUGCAUAUGUAUAUUGUGAAAUGUUUAUUAUCAUGUAAUAAAUGAAUACUGUUUAAACUAAGAAGUAUCCUCAAUCAUGGAAUAAAAUAUAGAUGAGAAAACUUUUGAAA